rnacentral:rRNA from 1 species
UACGAAGGGGGCUAGCGUUGUUCGGAAUCACUGGGCGUAAAGCGUACGUAGGCGGAUCGUUAAGUCAGGGGUGAAAGCCUGGAGCUCAACUCCAGAACUGCCUUUGAUACUGGCGAUCUUGAGACCGGGAGAGGUGAGUGGAACUGCUAGUGUAGAGGUGAAAUUCGUAGAUAUUCGCAAGAACACCAGUGGCGAAGGCGGCUUACUGGUCCGGUUCUGACGCUGAGGCGCGAAAGCGUGGGGAGCAAACAGG